CAAAAUCGAGUAACCUUAACUUAUACACAAAUCAUAAACUAUCUAACACAUAACAAUACUAUUCUUCAACCAUACUUUUACAAAUUAGCUGCACAUUCUAUCCCAAGCUGAACUUGGCAUUUUCCUUUUCCUGUAACUGGCCGUAUUCGCCUUAUCUGCAAUGUUUUAUCAUGAUAUAGCAAGGGUGAGCAUGAAAGUUGCCCAGCAAGUUUAAAAAAAAUGCAAAGAUAUAUCAUGAUGGAAAGAGUUUGAAUAAUAAGCUGACUAUCCUUCACAAUGUAUUUGUGAAUUAGCAUGAACAAAGUUUUGACUGAACAAGUAUUUAACAGGAAUAACAAUAUAUCUGGACCAACUGGUAAUGAAGGUGAUCAGCCUUUCAUACCCGACUUAUACAUACAAGAUGUACAGAGUACAAUUCAUAAGCAUAUCUGUCUGAAACCACUCUUAAAAGAGUUUAAGUAAAAAGAACUUGAAAAACUUGCCUGAACCGUUGAUUACCGUAACGCAAUAUAAUACGCUUCUCCUGAAGACCUAAUAUUAAUAAUAUAGAUCUCCAAUAUUAGAAUAAUAUCAUCAUUGUUAUAAAAUAACUUAAACAUAUUUCCACAUACUCCUAUCAGUCUAUACAGCAUAUAAAACCUAUAAUAGAUCUUUCGGUUAGUCAUAACAUAUAGUUAAGUAUUAGACAUUAGUUUUAAGUCUUAAUAUUAUUAUUAUACUUUGAUAUUCUUUUAAUCACAUCAUAACUUAUACUUAUAAGUUAUUCAUUUUUAUAUGUUAUCCUAGUAAAUUAGAUAACAUCUUAGUAAACCGAAAUACCAUUUCAGUAAGACGGAUUUUAUUUCAGUAUCCCGAAAUCACUAUUCUUUUUCACGAAAAAUACCAAAUCAACUUAUUAUUUUUUUAUCCUUUGGUCAAACAUAUAUACAUGUAUUUCAUACAUAAAAAAUAUUUUUCCGUAAUUUUUCAAUUUCUUUUACUAUUUUUCAAAAAUCAUAAUUAGUGCGUGACUUAAGAAAAUUAGCUACCUCGUGCUUAACUCCAGAGAUGCCCAUCUUUUGACAUAACCUUAUAUAUGUUAACGUGAUGCUCCAUUUUAAAUUUCGUGGCAAUCGGAGUUGUAGAACUCCGGUUAUAGCGAUUUCCGUCGGAAAAUCACAAAAAUUAGAAUAGUCAUAACUUGGCCGUUUUAACUCGGAAUUAGCUCAUUUUUGGACACAAGCUACAUAAUACGACAUAUUUUCAUUUUCCGAAAGCCAGGAAUUUUUCUUACAAAUAAAUUACCGAAACAGCCUCCGGAAAAUAUUUUGGCAGUUUACUUUUGCACAUAUGCAGUUUUGGAGUCCUUUACCAAAACUUAAAUAAAAUGAAAUCUAUAACUCCGAUUAAUGAUCCGUCAAUUUUUUUGGAUUCGUAUCUUUCCUAACUACAGUUUUCAUCUAUCACAAUCCAUAUUUGGACAUGGUAAGCUCCCGGAAAUUAGCUCGGAAGUGGCUGUUACAAACUGUUACUCUAACAGUUUUUCUUACCUUUGAGUAGUUUGGGAGAAAUUUCAUAACUCUCUCCUCCGAUGUCGGAUUUAGUCCGUUUUGGAGUCUAUGGAAAGCUUAUUGAGUGUACUAUAACAUACCAAAAGUUCAGAAUUUUUAGAGCAAGCUAGCUAACCCCGAAACUUCCUUUUUGUGGCAGCAACUUUUUGGCCAAAAAAACAGUUUUGGGGUCCUUCACCGUAAAAUCCAUAUCUCUCAAACCGUAUGGCCAAAAAUUCUCAAUUUUUUACAAAACCUGCAUAUCUACUGAUAUUAACACCCCAAAUAUUUUCCAGAAUUUAUAAAGCACAAAAAGGGGACGAAAAUGCCCCUGCUACGGACUGAUCCAAAACAGUUCCUAGAAACGGGACUGUUUUCACAUAAAUCAACACCUUGACUUUUAGAAACAUGAUUUUUGAGUUCUACCACUUGGGUUAACUACUAAACACAUAUAUCUAGCACCCCUCUUUGACGGAUCGCAAAAUGGAAUUUUAGAUUUAAAACGGUGAAAUUUCAAAGUAUAUAGAAAUUUUGAUUUUCAAAACUAGAAAAUUAUUUUUCCUUAUUCUUUUGAUUCCCACCAAAUCAACACCCAAUAUGGUUAUAUCUAAACAUGAAACACUCAUUAACACAUAUAUCUAAGGUUUUUGAGUUUAGAAACAUNNNNNNNNNNNNNNNNNNNNNNNNNNNNNNNNNNNNNNNNNNNNNNNNNNNNNNNNNNNNNNNNNNNNNNNNNNNNNNNNNNNNNNNNNNNNNNNNNNNNNNNNNNNNNNNNNNNNNNNNNNNNNNNNNNNNNNNNNNNNNNNNNNNNNNNNNNNNNNNNNNNNNNNNNNNNNNNNNNNNNNNNNNNNNNNNNNNNNNNNNNNNNNNNNNNNNNNNNNNNNNNNNNNNNNNNNNNNNNNNNNNNNNNNNNNNNNNNNNNNNNNNNNNNNNNNNNNNNNNNNNNNNNNNNNNNNNNNNNNNNNNNNNNNNNNNNNNNNNNNNNNNNNNNNNNNNNNNNNNNNNNNNNNNNNNNNNNNNNNNNNNNNNNNNNNNNNNNNNNNNNNNNNNNNNNNNNNNNNNNNNNNNNNNNNNNNNNNNNNNNNNNNNNNNNNNNNNNNNNNNNNNNNNNNNNNNNNNNNNNNNNNNNNNNNNNNNNNNNNNNNNNNNNNNNNNNNNNNNNNNNNNNNNNNNNNNNNNNNNNNNNNNNNNNNNNNNNNNNNNNNNNNNNNNNNNNNNNNNNNNNNNNNNNNNNNNNNNNNNNNNNNNNNNNNNNNNNNNNNNNNNNNNNNNNNNNNNNNNNNNNNNNNNNNNNNNNNNNNNNNNNNNNNNNNNNNNNNNNNNNNNNNNNNNNNNNNNNNNNNNNNNNNNNNNNNNNNNNNNNNNNNNNNNNNNNNNNNNNNNNNNNNNNNNNNNNNNNNNNNNNNNNNNNNNNNNNNNNNNNNNNNNNNNNNNNNNNNNNNNNNNNNNNNNNNNNNNNNNNNNNNNNNNNNNNNNNNNNNNNNNNNNNNNNNNNNNNNNNNNNNNNNNNNNNNNNNNNNNNNNNNNNNNNNNNNNNNNNNNNNNNAGGUUUAAUUUAUCUGGUCAACCCUUGACCCUUAACCACAUUCUGUACACAUGAUACCGUAAUCCUGAAUAAUUCACUAAAAGAAAUUUUAAAUCCUCAAAAUUCCUUUCUGAAAACAUCAAACACAUGCACUUAUUUUCUGUCUAGGUCUAUUAUUUGACCUUAAACCAAUCAUUUAAGAUUUUAAUAAUUUUCUAAUUUCUCGGGUUGUCACAGGUGGUGCAAGUUUGAUAAUACUUUUAGGACUAAAUUAAAAAUGAAGUUAUAGAUGAAGGUACUAUACUGUAGUAUUUCGAGCCCCAAAAUGUGCAAUUACCGAAACUAUAUUUUCCUAUAAAUAGAAGCUCAUUCUUCUUUCAUUCUCACCAAUUCACUAAGACUCAUAAGAGUAAUUAUAGAGAGAGAAGCUAUAGAGAGAAAAACUAUAGAGAGAAAGAAGAAGAGUAUUCUGCUACUUCACUAUUCUAGUAUCCAGUCUUCUUCUAAGGUAAGGGAUAUUAUUUUUGUUCAGUAUUCAUAAGGAAAAAUAUUUUCUUCCAUACUCUGUAGUAUGUGAGUAAUAUUAUUUCGUCUUAUAUUCUUGAUGUUAUGCAGAAUUGAUGCCAAUGGUUUAGAAUACCAGUUCUUCCGAUACCUUCGCUGAAGUAAUAUUCAACGACUUAGUUCACCAGACUCUGCCUGAUGUUACGCUGGAUUGAUGACAACCAAUUGAUGUAUACGAUAGAAUUUUCCUCUAAUCUAAACAUUUAAUGUGCACAUAAUUAAAUCUACAGGAUAUACAUGCUAAAUUUUGAUGGAGAUAUACGCUGAUAUAGCGCUUUUGCACAUGUGCAGAUCAUGUAUGAUGUGAUGACCUAGAUUUGUCCUCGGGAGUCUAUUGUCCUAGGUUGAUGCACAUUUUAAAGUGUCUGGAGUAGAAACUUACCUCACCCUUUCUGAGGUGAUUUGGAGUUUCUUUUCGCUGUUGGGGUGCUUAUGCCCCAUUCCCUUGAGCUUUUGAUUCGCAACCCGGCUGAACUGAUGAUCUGAAUGCUGCUGACAUCCUUAGAGGGUACAGCCUAUUCUUUCGCUGCCGAGAUUUUAACUUUGAUGUAGAGGCCUCAACUCGUGAGGACUUGACACAGGUUGAUACAUUUGAUGGUCAGGAUUUCAUUAGCUAGACCUUUUGUCAUUGGUCUUCUGCUCUUGAGUUAAGGACUUUUUUGAAAAAUUUCCCCUUCUUCUGUAGGGGCAAACUUACGUUGCCAUGAUUUCCUUCAGGAGUUCUCUCCUUUCUUUUGAUGAGAAGCUUGAUCUCGCCUUAAAUUCAUUCCAUUUCUUGGAAUUGGAAAAUGCCCCAGUCCUUUCACAUUUUGUUGUCAGGGAUUCAUAUGGGAAACUCUCUUUGUUGACCAAGUCACGAGUGAGCAAUAUCCUGCACAUCAAAAGAGCAAAGUGUACAAAAAGCUUGACGGUUUGGCCGUCAAGAUUAGUAUACUCUUGUGAAUAAGGCAUUUGAAGUACAAAUUAUGAAAUGGAAUGAGUUAUGAAAUUGCAAGGAAAUUUGUAAACAUCCAUGGUCAUUAUUCAUUGGUAGGAUUAGAUUUUAAAAGACUUAUCUCCCUUUAUCAGAGAAACUUCAUCUUCACUCUAGACGUUAUUCUUCGCAGAAUUGACUUCAUAUAACACACACACACAUACACACACACACACACUAUGAGUGACACAACUCUUAGCAGGGGCUUUACUUCUAUUCCUUGGUAAAUUUUCUUUUUUUUCUCGCCUAAUCUGGUCUCCUUUUCUUAGGCUGUUCAGAAUUACCCAUGUAACGAGUUUUGGACCAAUGACUCCCAAACCAGAGGGCUUUAGGGCACCAGGUGUUAAGACACCCCUUCGGGUUUACUUGAUCGAGUAAUAAAUGCCACGCUUUAAGAUAAGUCAGGCGAUAACUCUAUUCGUUUCUUUGCCUGAUUUUUACAGGUCCAUUUUCUUAGGCUCUAAGUCACCCAAUGUAAUGAGCGUUAGGCCGAUAACUCCCAAAGUAGAGGGCUUUAGGGCACCAGGUGUAAAGACACCCCUCAGACUUAAUUACUCAAGUAACCUACGCCACAAUUUGGAUCAGCUCAGGUUUUGCCUUUUGUAAUGCUCAUUUUCUUAGGCGCUAAGUUAUCCAAUGUAACGAGCGUUAGCCCGAUGACUCCCAAACCAUAUGGCUUUAGCACACCAGGUGUAAAGACAACCCUCAGGAUUAAUAACUCGAGCAACCUAGGCCACAAUUCAGAUAUUAGGCUGGAGACUUAUCUUUUAUCUUUUCAUUAUUUGCCAUUAUUUUUACCAUAGCUUCAUACCCCACAACUAAGAGUCAGGGCAAUUGCAAAGUGUAGACAUGCAUAUGAGGUCAAGUCUGUCCCAAAAAGAGCUUUGAACUGGGAUGUCAUGCCCAAUCAAAAGGUUGAAUAGUCUUAAAUAUCUAAUCAUUCCUGUGAUUCUCGCCCCACGGACGCUUAUGAAAAUUAAUCCCAUUCAUAACAAGUUAAGCAAAAUCCUUUUCUAAGAAUACUUAACUUGUAUAUUAUCGCUAAUGCAUGUAAAUGGAGACUAAAAGCUCAUAAAGAGAUGAAAGAGUCAUACCUCACAUGUGGAUUAUUAAUUCUGAGAACAAUAUGAUUAGAAAAGACUAAAUGAUUAUAUUGAAUUUCUAGUGAGACGAUGUGAGGGAAGCUCUGAUGAUGAUGUACCAUGCUGAUGGUGCUAACUGGUGUAUUUUCCUCUUUAGGAUUAUUGAUAAAUGCCCCAAUGUUAAGUUGUUGCUGUUUUCGAGAUUGCCCCGGUCUGGUUGUAAGGAUCGCAACACCGGGUUGUCGUCGAUUUUGAAAUUACCCCAGCCUUGCUUAUUUCCUGGGAUAGUUACUUUGAAAGAUGGGCUGUUAAGAUGCCGAGGUCCCAGGAGCCUUUUACCUUUAUACCAUAUGGUGAACAGGUAGUGGAUUUGGGCUUUGAUGCUCUUAAUCAUUAUUCCUGAGUUGUUUGUGCAAUCAGCCUUAAUGAUUUUCUUCUAAUUUGAUGAACACUAGUGAUUGAGGGUGUCAGCUCUUUGAAGGUCCUCGUUGCUAGUUGUCUUAGUGUAUCGUUAUUUCUUCCUUUCUAGGACUUGUGUCAAAUUUGAUGGAAUGACAUUGAAGUGUUUGUUUUGGUUUUUUUGGAUUUUUUUUUGAUUUGACUGCACCAUAAAUGGCUGCCUACGUACUCCCAUUGAAGAGGAGAUCAGGUCUGCAUAGUUCAAACCUGGUGUAAGAGGUUCAACGCUGAAUGUAAAAGGGUGUAGGAAUGUUUUUGUUGUUUUUGUUUAUGUAGAGAAAAGGGUAGAAGUGUUUUGUUGUUUUUGUUUUUAUAGAGAAAGGGCAUAAAUGUUUUGAUUUUUUUUAUUGCGACCAGGCCAUAUAGAAUAUGGUUGCCUACGUACUUCCGGGUAUUAGGGAGAUCAGGUCGACGUAGUUCGCCUCUUGAGCUGAAACCUAACUGAUUUAAUUUUUGAUUUUUGAUUGUUUUUUUUAAUUUUUUUGAUUUUUUGAUUUUUUUAAUAUUUACAUGCAUGGAAAAUAAAAGGCAUACUGCGAGGAAAGUGACACCGUCCCAACAUCUUCUGGAACUCACAACUUUAACCACUAGAUCUACAUCUUCUUGGCUAGUGGAGGCCUGAUAGUCCAGUUGUCAGUGGUGAUAUUUCCUUCAAGGCUCGCGAUAGAGGUUACAUCUUGAUUUUGAAUAUCUUCGCUUAUGGUUAUAACUUGAUCUCCCCCUGAUGCAGUACAGUCCUCAUGGACGCUUGAACUGGACCCAUCACAAAAAGGGAUGAACUCUGGAUUCUUCAAUGGGUUGGCUUCGCCGACAAACUCACCAUCUUUUUCUUUCAUCUGUUCCUUCUUAUUUUUCAUGGGCUUGAAAGGAUUCGACCAUUAAAUCUCCCUUGAAUAGUGGUUGUAUUUCUUGCAAGGAAUUUUUCUUUUUAGCUUUUCCUUCCUUGGACAUGAUUAGUAUUUCCUCCUCAUUAUCCAAGGUGAUAAAAUCAGGAACGUGGUUGCUAUCUUUGGACCAGAAGAUGUUUGAUGUUGGUGGAGGAAUAUCCUUUUGGGGAUUCCCGUGUAUCCUCUGUCAUUUGAUGCAUUAGGAUUAAUCCAUCUUAUGUUCUACAAGGAUUAGUGCUCAUGGCCUUUACCUCCUCUGAAUUUCCUGUCUCGAGUGGACAUAUUAAGCUUUUUAUUUUCUUUUUGCCUUUUCUGGUCAUAAGGAAUUCUAUCUUUAGCUAUUCAUUUUCAAUGAGAUCCUUGAUUUUACGUCGCAAAGACCAACAUUCCUCAGUCGUAUGUCCAAGUGAGUUAGAAUGGUAGAAACAUGUCUUGGUGGAAUCAUAACUCUUUAUCUUGGGAUUUAUAGGAGGCAGUAACUCAGUAAUCCAUCCUUCGCUUAUCAGAAAGUAUAGCAUUUCUUCAUUUGAUUUGCUCAAAGGGGUGAAUUUUCGGGCUCUUGUGGAGGUUGUUUGAUCUUUCUUCUUUGAGAAUUCACAUUCCCCCGAUCGAUUUUUCUGCUGGCGAGAUCUUCUAGCAAUUUUAUCAAUCCUCUUUUCUUCUCCUUUUAGCCUGCUUUGAUCUUCUUCAUUUAGCUGGCUCAUCAUGGAUAGAUAUGGGUUUGCAUUAUGGUUGACCUCUUUUUUCUCUUGGCUUUCUGAUAGUUGAGUGAAAAACUGCCUUGUAUCCUGAUGUUGUCGCAUUAUCAGCUUAGCAAGCAGUCUUACUUGUUUCUGGAUCAUCUCUAAUUUUUGCAUUACUAUCAUACCCUCCUCUGAGUUUUCCCACUUUAGGACAUUUGAUCUGUGCCCUUGGGGGUAUUCCUCUAUCCUUCGUAUGUACUUACGAUUUAGAUAUAUUUCAGCGCUUCCUGACCCGAUCAUGUUUACUUCCUCUGUAUCAUGCUACAACAGAAGGUUGGUGUUGACAUUUUGUUGGUCAGGUUGAUGGACCAUAAUACUGCCACUUUCGAUUAGAUUUUGAAUUUUAUGCUUUAAGGACUAACAAUCUUGUGUAUCGUAUGCUGGAGACCGUGAGUGGUAAGCACAUCUCUGGCUUAAAUUGUAUCUUUUGCUCCCUAGUUCCAGAGGUGGAGCCAGUUCGGUAAUUUUCUUAUGAUCCAUCAAUAUCACCAAUACAUUUUCAAGAGAAUCGUCUAGUGUAGUGAACACCCGAUUUUCCGUUCUCUCAAAUUUUAUUUUCCUGUCCUGGACUUGGUUAAAUCAAACAUGUUGUUAAAAUGGCAGAUUGUCUCAUUUUUUCCAAAUGGGGGGACUGUAAUUUGGUCUACUAGCUUGCCCCUGUACAACAAGGGAUACAUCUUCAGUGCCUUUAUCGGGUACCCCCUUGGGAUCGCUCGCAUACUUUCCAGUCUGUAUAUACUUGGUGACUGCUUCCAAGGCAGUGAAGUCUUUAAUCUUGCCUGCCUUUAGACCCAUCUCUGCCAUUUCGACGUGUUUGAUCAUUUCUGAGAAUGGCUUUCCUAUGCCUGCUAGGAUUCUUUCAUAGUAAGGAGCCUCUUGGAUAUCAAUAAACGUCAUUACCAUCUCAGUUUCUGUCAUUGAUGGAAUGACUUGCGCUGUUAGAUGUCUCCACCUUUGGGCAUAUUCUUAGAAAGAUUCAGUACUUUGCUUUUUGACUUUAGUCACUUGGUAUCGAUCUGGUGCCAUUUGUGACUGAAAAUUGUACUGAUUGAGAAAGGCGUGGUCCAAUUCUUCCCAGUUGUGGAUUUUGGCAUUGUCAAGUCAGGCAUACCAAGCUUUAGCCUCUCCAGUGAGACACUUUUGGAAAAGCUGCAUUCUGAGGCUUUCAUCUUUAACAUAAGACCCCAACUCGCCAAUAUAUACUUUUAGGUGCGCACAGGGAUCGCCUGCCCCAUUGUACUUUUCAAACUCUGGGACUUUGAAUUUCUCAGGAUAUCGAGCCCCUGGGAAUAUGCAGAGAUCUGAAUAGGUGACACUACCAUAGUUUCCAGUCCCUUUAAUUGACCAGAUGGUUUCCUCCAUUUGUUGGACUUUCUUUCUUAUAUCCCCAGUUUCUCGAUCAUCCCUGAGUUUUGUGAUUUUAGGGGUUUUGUUGGUUCCUUUAUUGCAAUGAGGUUUAGGUAUCUGGGUUUCCAUCUUUUUGUCAAUACCCUGACUUCCCCCCUGCUAUGAAUGACUCUGAUUGAUUAGGCUAUGUUUGGCCCUAGGUUCCUCCAUGUGCUGAGGAUACUGUGUGGAUGGGUAUUUGUGGACCCUGGGUAGAUCAUUGUAGUUCUUUGAGCAUAACAACCAACUCUGUAAUUUGAUAGCUUAAUCUUUCGAACUCCUCGCGAGAGACAAGAGUAGGAUCAGGCUGGGCACUUUUAGCCAUGUUUGGCUGUGGGCUGAAUGCCUUUCUGGACUUUGAACAGGAAACGGGACCAAUUGCUUCCCUACAAAAAAGACUUAGGUAGCUUAGUCUUAGGGAAUGUAUAAAAUUUUUACAUGCUAUCAUAAUGUGUCCAUUUUAGGAAUAUUAUCCUGCAAAACGGGUGUCAUUUGAUAGCAUGUCAAGCCUUAAUAUGCAUGUACAUAUAUUCUUCAUAUUUUUCGUUACAUAAAGAAUAACAUAGAAUGAAAUUACAAGUAAUUGUCUUUACAAGUAAUUGAAAAUGGAAAGCAUGAAGAGACUUUCCUCCGCGUUUGGUUUAUCAGAGGUUGACCUAUCUUAGGUUACUCUCGUGACUUUUUGGCAUGAAGGUUCCUAGAUCAUCACAAUCUACUCGACGGGAAGUUAAUCCGAUAUUUCAACUGGAGCGAAUAUGGGUGGUGCCUUUCAUGAGCCUCGUUGGAAUUAGUCUUCAUACGAGUCUAGUAAUCAACCACCGAUAGGAUAGCCUCCUGGUGGAGGAACCACAUAACAUACAUUCACAUACAACGUGUCUCACCGUUUAUGAAAAUGAUGACAUCUGCGAAGCACUAAUAUCACAGAUAGAUAUUUUGCAGUGUAGUAAUUAAAAUGCAUUCGUACACGUUCAUCAAAAAAUGUAAAUGCAACAUUCACACACAAGCAUUUAACAGUUUUGAAAAGCUUAUAGUAGCGGCUUAAGGCCUCUUACAGGCAUCCCCAGCAGAGUCACCACCUGUCAACGUCGGGAUUUUUAUUUGUCCCUUUUCUGUUCUUAUUCUUUGGUGUUCUCAUGUUAUGUGAGAUUUGUUUGAAAAAACAAGUAAAAAAGGUCUGACAUGUAUAUGUCGACGAUUUGACUGUAAGAGUCGCCAAUUGGUGUUUUUAACUAGUUGCACCAACGCAACCGAGAAAGGUUUGCACAUUGACCCAGUGAUGUGAUACAGCUAAACGGGUCUGUCAAACCGAGAUUCAUUUGGGUUCGGGGGCUUGAUUAUGCGGAAGGAAGGUGUCAGGCACCCCCCGACAUCCGUGUUACUAUGGUAACCGUCACUUUUCAAGAAACUGUUAUAUGAAUAUGUAUGUGUGUGUGUGUGUGUGUGUGUGUGGGUAAAUGUCUUGUUUAUUUGGAAGUAGUGUGAGGCCUUGUUCGCACCUAUAUACAAAGGGUUUGAAUUUUUAUAAAAAUUCAAUUUUAAACAAGAUAUAGCAAUGAGGUUUUGUAAAAGAGGUUUUUCAAACCCUGUGGUCAAUAGUAAUUGAGGCCUUUGAUACUUCCAUUUUAUUAUUAAAUGUUCGGCUUGGUUGCUUUUAUUUUUUGAGAUGCAAAGCAUCUUCGAGAAAAUAAUAUAUAGCAGUGCUGAACUCCUCAUGGGCAUGAAUGCCAUCUAAGGAAAUUCAAACACCGUGAAGAAUUUACAAACUGCUUACAGCUGAAAAUGUCCAUCACGAGAACCGAAUCUAGAUUCAGUGGACUGAAUAUGUGAUCACGUGAUUCCUAGGCUCACAUGAUGCCACAGUUUAUAUGAAAAGCAGUAAGCAGUUAUAUAUAUAAAAGCUAUAUAUAUAUAUAUAUAUAUAUAUAUAUAUAUACAGACAUGAUCAACCACCACGAAGCACCUCCAUGGGGGAUCGAAAAAGUAAAUAUAUAAAAGCGAUAAAUAUAUAUAUAUAUAGAGACAUGAUCAACUACCAUGAAGCACCUCCACGGGGGAUCAGAAAUGUAAAUAAAGCAAUAAAUGCGAUCAACCGCCAAGAAGUAAACUCCAGGCGGGACAAAAUUUAAAUAAAGGAGUAAAAAACGAUCAACUGCCACGAAGUAAACUCCAGGCAGGACGGAAUUUAAAUAAAGCAGUAAAAGGCCACGAAGUAAACUCCAGGCCUGAUAGAAAUGUAUAUAUAUAUAUAUAUAUAUAUAUAUAUAUAUAUGUAUAUAUAUAAUCAGUAAAUGCUCCGGAUGUAAAAUCCAGGCUCAUCGAACACUCGGCUCCUGCCGGUAAAACUAUAGCUAUAUGUGAGCUUACAAGUGUUUAAAAUGAAAAAGCACUCAAUAUAGGGUGUGUACAGAGCAAAUUUGACAGGGCUUCCUCGCCUUUUCUCUUUCAAAUAUUGCCACCAUAAGCUCUAUAUUUAUAGUGUUGGGAGCCGCAGGUGUACCUGCGGCAGCCGCAGAUGCAUCUGUGGCUGCCCAGGUUGCCCCGAGCUCUGCGGGUCCCAUCAUCUCGAAGUACGUGCAUGCGUGUAACGUGAUGUCUGCUCAAAAUUGCAGAACUUCAAUCCAAGCCUCCGAUUGAGCCGUGACAUACCAUUAUGGAAAGCUCUUUCCGAGAGCUAUGCAAUGAAAUAGGAUUUGCCCUUUUUUUGAUCCCAGGAAGAUUGGUCCAUGACCGAAAUAGCAUUUCUGGGUUUCUAUUAGGCAGUCUGUUGACCUCUCGGGGUUGACUUUAGGCUUUGCAAUUGAUUUCUCGGGCUAUCUCCAAGGUUAGAAUUGAUGUUGUGGUCCUCCAGGGUUAUCUCUAGAGUGUGAAAAAGACGCUUUUGUCCUCCUGCAUAGUUAGUAACAAGAAAACAAAAUUUUGAGUGUCUACAAGCUCCUCCUGGGCAGUUAAAAACAUCAACUUAUCCCGACCCUUUCUACUCAAGGCAUUAGCAACCACAUUUGCUUUACCCGGAUGAUAAAAGAUUUCACAAUUAUAAUCUUUUAUGAGCUCUAACCAUUGCCUCUGACGCAUAUUAGAUCCUUCUGUGUGAAAAUAUAUUUCAGACUUUUAUGGUCUGUGUAUAUCUCACAUUUCUCCCUAUAGAGAUAAUGUCUCAAUAUCUUCAGAGAAAAUACCACCGCAGCCAACUCUAAAUCAUGAGUCGAGUAUCCUUUCUCAUAGUCCUUCAGUUGCCUUGAUGCAUAAGCAAUGACUUUGUCGUUUUGUAUAAGCACACAACCUAGUCCUUUCUGUGAUGCAUCACUAUACACCACAAAGUUUCCUGUAUUAUCCGGUAAUGACAACACAGGUGCCAUGCUAAGCUUCUUUUUCAUGUCCUGAAAGCUCUCUUCGCACUUCUCUAUUUAGAUAAAUAUUAUGGAUUUCCUUAUCAAAUUUGUCAAUGGAGUGGCAAUCUUGGAAAAGUCUUGAAUAAACCGUCUGUAGUAACUUGCCAGUCCUAAGAAACUCCUCACCUACGAUGGUGUCCUUGGUUGUUCCCAAUUUAUUACAGCUUCAACCUUUGAUGGAUCCACCGAAAUCCCAUCUUUGUCAAUCACAUGUCCAAGAAAUUGUACACGUUCUAGCCAGAAUUCACACUUAGAGAAUUUCGCAUACAAAUUUUCCCUUCUUAGCGUCUCCAACGUCAAACGUAAAUAUUUCACGUGUUCCUCUUGAGAUUUGGAUUACACCAGGAUAUCAUCAAUGAAUACCACCACAAACUUAUCUAAUAAUUGUUUAAAUACCUUGUUCAUCAAAUUUAUGAAUGCUGCAGGAGCAUUGGUCAAACCAAAAGACAUUACCGGAAACUCAUAAUGUCCAUACUGAGUUCUGAAUGUCGUCUUCGGUACAUCCUCCUUUCUUACCUUUAAUUAAUAAUACCCACUUCUCAAAACUAUCUUUGAGAAGUACUUAUCUCCCUUCAACUGAUCAAAUAAGUCAUCUAUUCUUGGCAAUGGAUAUUUGUUCUUAAUAGUGACUUUGUUUAACUCCCUAUAAUCAAUGCAAAGAUGAAUCGACCCAUCGACCCAUCCUUCUUCUUCAUGAAUAACAUCGGUGCUCCCCACGGUGAUACACUCGGAUGAAUGUAUUUCUUGUCUAGUAGCUCUUGCAGUUGAACCAUCAAUUCCUUCAUCUCUACCAGAGCCAUCCUGUACGGGGCCUUCGAUAUCGGAGCAGUCCCUGGUGCUAAAUCGAUAACGAACUCAAUCUCUUUGUUGGGCAGAAGUCCUAGAAAAUCUUCUAGAAAUACAUCUGCAAAAUUCCUAACAACUGGUAUCUCUUAUAGUUUCAUGCCCUUUCUCUGAGUAUCCACUAUAUAAGCUAAAUAUCCUACACAUCCUUGUCUCAAUAACUUCUUGGCCUGUAUAAUCGUUAGACAUCUUGCUUGUCUAGGCAAUUUGCUACCAUAGAAAACUACAUUUGACAGAGUCAUAAGGUUUACACAUUUCUUUUGGCAAUCAAUUAUCGCUCCAUAAUUGAAUAGACAAUCCAUUCCCAAUCUGACAUUAAACUCUCAAAGUUUAAUCAGGAUUAAAUCAACUAUCAUAAUAUUCACCUUACAAUUCUUGUAUACGAAUCUAACAGGAAUCACCUCCCUAUUCGCAAUUUCUAUGUUUAAAGGGAAAUUCAACUCUUCACCAGGACACCCUAGACUCUUAGAAAAAUCAUUAGAUAUAAAUGAACAAGUAGCACCCGAAUCAAAUAACACAUAUACAUUUAUAUCAUUGAUUGGGAUAAUACCUGACACAACAUCUUUUGAUUGUACAUCAUCCUGCAUACUCAUGUCAAAGGUUCUGGCUAUGGGUCUACUCGAUGAUUUUGGUCCAGUAAUAGCCAACGUACCUUCACUACCACCUCCCUUGCUUCCAGUUGCCUCUCCAGCUUUCUUCUUAGGGCACUCGUGAGCUAGAUGAUCCUUUAACCUGCAAGUGUAACAAGCAUUCUUCUUUGGUUGAUUGCAAUUCAGAGUAAUGUGACCCUCUUGGCCACAGUUAAAGCACACUCACUUACCCUUCAAGCACACGCCAGUGUGAUUCCUCUCAAAGGUAGCACAUGCUUUAAAUUUCCUUUUCUGCUGGCCACUCUGCUGACUCCCAGCACCAACACUCACAUUCCACUUCCUCUUUGGUUUAUUAUUUCCUACAUUACUACCACCAGUUUUGCCUUCAGUCUCAUUUUUUUUCUUUCUAUGCUCCUGAUUGUACUUCAUUAAGGCAUCACUUCCACCUUCUGCGAUAAUCAUUUUUUCCAGCACUGCUGCAAUUGUGUACAGCUGAAACAUAGAGACUCUGCUAUAUAACCAGGGCUUCAAUCCCUGUUCAAACCUUCUCGACUUGCGCUCAUCUGUGUUAACUUGAUACGGCGUAAACCUUACCAACUCAUUAAAUUUCACUGCAUACGCCGAGACCGUUAUUGCACCCUGCUUUAAUUUUAAAAACUAGACCUCCAUUUGAUUCUUUGAGCUCUCUGGAAAAUAGGUCUCAAGAAAUAUCUCUUUGAACCUAUCCCAAGUCAUCACUCCCUGACCUCCUCGGGUUUUGUUUGCUUGCCACCAGUAACUAGGGUCUGCUUUUAACAUGAAUGUCGCAAAAAGCAGUCUUCUAGUCCUCACCGACUCUAGCAACGUCGAAAACUUUUUCUAUUUCCAUGAUCUAGGUAUGUGCCUCAACCGGAUUUAUGGACCCACGAAACUUUGGUGGUCCAACUGCCUUAAAAUCCUUAAAAGUCGCAGCUUGGUUAUGCAGCUGAUUUUGUAGUGCUCUGGCUAAUAAUGUCACCAACUGCUGAAUUGGGUUAACAUUGGCGUCGUUAUUAUUGGUAGACCCCUUAGGGGUUCUUUGUCGUGGCUAACGUCUUAGAGGCAUUUUCUGUUAAAAUACACUUAUUAGAUUAUUACUCAAUUUCUUAAGUAUUUUCUACUUAACUUGUACAUCAUAAAAGAUCAUCAUAUAACAUAUAACAUCUUGAAUAAAUAUUAAUAUUUUAUUCAUUCAUAAUCUUUUUAAAGACAUAGAAACAAUAGCAUCACUGCUAUUUACAUCAAUUUCCUGAACUAAAAAAGUUUCAGGAUAACAUCAUCAUAUCCCAUCGGCUACAUAACACUUGGGAUUUAGAUCCUAUUUAUUAUAUCAUUAUUCAUUCAACAAUAAAACUUCUUAUUAAGGUCUACUAAGUUGAUGUACAGCCUUAUGAUGCUCCUCUUCCAUGAUACGGAACAUCGUUCUACGAUCUAACAUAUACCAUGACAAUUCUUCGAACUGAGUCGGAUACUACAUGACUCGGUCUUGAGCUCGGUUCAUCGCAAUAUGAAAAGCAUAGUCCAUCUCUUCCAUCUUGAUCUUCUUUGCUUGUACCUCUCCCUCUGCUACCUCUGCACGCUGAGAAGCUUUCUCGUACGCAUCUUCAACUCUUGCUCUCUUGGCGGAUUCUUCCUUCAAGUUAUCAUUCAGCUUCGCAGCCUCCUCCAUCAGCUGCUCAUUCUCACCCUUUGUGUGAACUAGCUUCCUUUCCACAUUGAUGAGAUACUCAUUAAGAUCCCAGAUCUCAUCGUCCUUCUGUGCCAUUGAAGUCUGACGUUCAGCUACUAGCUCCUCCAACUCCUCGACUCUAUCCUGAAGCUCAAUGUUACAAUCAUAUACUUCGUCAUACAUUUGAGCUGCGAUAGAGUUUGGUGGAAACUCUUCCUCCUCCUCAUCCUCUUCCGUCUGUGGUAGCUCUAUAGGGUCUUCCUUAUUCGUCUCUACCUCAUACUUAUCAUUAGGUACACCUUCCUGCUCCAACUCUGGGGCAUAACCCACCAUGUGACCAACAGAGAUGACUCCCUUGGCACCAGUUGUUCCCAGACUACCUGAAUAUCUUGAGGCUCCUCCUCUCUAGGCAUCUGAGGUCCCUUCUCCUUAGCCUGACUGGAUUCUCCCACAUUAGCCAUCCUAACGACAAAAAAUUUAAUUUUUUAAUUACUAACCGUCACUGCUCGACACUCAAGAGCACAUAGGUUGCAACCACAUAAGCACAUAAAGUGUUUUAUUAUUUCUUCCUUAAAACUCGAUAAGAGUUUAUCACCACUAUCUUUAUCUUUUACAAACUCCUAUAACGUUACUACCUUAGGUUUUCCCCACCUAAGGUUCAUAACCUAAAGCUUUGAUACAAACUUGUCACCCCCAAAUCUGGGUACUUCAUUCCCACAUGAUUUGGUGCUCACUGUCCAAACAUUAAUUUCUAACCACCCAAAUAUAAUAAAAUUUAAACAAUAAAUCUUCCCAUUAAAGGGUUACAUAACUUAAUCAAUAAAUCUCCCAGGUUAUCUAACCUUUAAAACAUUCAUGAAUUGCGAAAAAGUAAACAAUUACAUUAUAUAAUUAAACCAAGUCUGAAAAUAUAAAUGUCAAUAGAUUUACAAGUCUUCAACAGUUGUUCAUCUUUCCUUUCCCUUUGCUAGUGGUUGGCUCAUCAACCUUCUCAACUAUAGCUGUAAUGGUUAUAUAUAUGCAAGAGUGAGCAAAAUAAAUGUUCACUUGAAAGAAUACAAUGAUUGGCAAUGAAUAAACUCAUUUGAAUUGAAUAACAUAUCUUAACAUCGACAAUCAAUAACUAAUAUUGGAAAUUUUUUGAGGGUCACAAGACAAAGAACUAUGUCCAAAUAAGUAUUUCUUUCAACUUAAACCUAAACAGUCAUUAGAUUGUAGGGACUCCCUAUACUUAGGGUGAUCAGCCCUUCGUAUAAUGUAUUAUGCACAAACAUCUAAACGCUUUUGCAUAAAUAAUCCCCUAUAAUAGGGUUGCUCAUCUCAGUUUUAAUAUACGAGUCCGCACCAAAGUAAGUUUGGUUUGGAUAAGUUUCAAGGGUAAUUUAGAGUUCAACAAAAAUCAACUAAGGAUUAGUUGAAUCAAAAGUUCAAUGACAAUGUAAGGAUUUAACAACGACAUGUUAUAGAGUAAUUAUGAACUAUAAAUGAAUAAUAUGAUACAUCAAAGUCAUGCUUUAAGAAUAACUUUCAAAGCAUUAAAAAUAUGUAAUUCACAUAGUUGAACAACAAUGAUAAGCUAAUGUUACAUUUUUCAAAUAAAGAGCCAAAAUUAAGAACUUUGCUCGAUAGAAUUCAAGAACUUGCGUAAUUUGAUAAACAAGACAGAAUAACAUCUUGCAUAUUUAUAAACAAUAGGAUAAGCUCAAAAUAAAGAUUAGGUUUAGGAAACUUGCACAACAAAAGUAAACAAGAUAGGAUAAAUAUCUUACUUUACAUAAAGAAAUAGGGUUUAGGAACUUGGAUAAAUUAAGUAAGAUAAGAUAAACUCAAAUAGAGAUUAAAGUUCGGAAACUUGCCUCGUGCGUAGGUUAAACGAUCACUACUCACGGUCACCACAAGCCCUACACAUACCAUAUGUAUUGACAACACUCAUUAGUUACACUAAUAUUAACUUCAUGAGUUUAGUUACCACUUUUAGUAUAGCUCGUUAACUUAGUUUGAGUUUUUGUUUACUACCACAAAUCAUAUAUUACAAGACCGAAGUUUCGAAUCUUAAGUUUGAACAACAUCACAUCUUUUUAUAAGCAUUACAUUUUAGCUCUUUUACAACCAAAAUAGUCCGUUUAAAUCAUAUUUUUAUCGUUUCUUCAUGUAUUUUCGAUUAACAAACAAUUUACAGUUUAACACAUGAAUUGAACAUCAAAUUUUAUUCUAAAAUAAGCCAUAUCAUAUAUAUACCAUUGUAAUUCAAGUUCUUCAAUACUAAACAUAUUUCUACGAAUUUGAUUACCCUACAUCAUGAAUAAAUGGUAUAAAACAUGUUAUCAAUACCCAUUAACAUAUAUAGGACCAUGUUUUCAACAAUCAUACUCAAAAACUCAUUUACAAAGAAUAUUUUUAUGAAGACUCAAAAACACAAAGAACUAAGAACAAAAGGGUUAAAUUACUACCUUAAAUCCUUGAUUAUGCUUUGUUAGAUGAUGAGAAUAGCUCUAAUAAUCUCCCUUGAUUCUCAAAACCUCUAAAUUCUCUCAAUUUGCCUAGAGCCCUCUCCCUUUUUUCUCUAUUUUCUUCUUUCUCUCUUCUCUUCUUAUUUUAACUUUACGUAACUUAAAAAUAUAAACUGAUAUAUAAAAUAUAAACAUAUAACAUAUAAUACAUAUUAAUGUAUAACAUAACUGAUGUCAGUUAUUUUCUUUUUAAAUUCAAAAGCCACUAGGGCUUGUUUGGCAAAACAAAAUUAAAAAAAUAAGGAUUAUCAAGCCCUUAAGCCUUGUUUGGUAAAACCCAUUUAAAACUCCUUUUAACUUAUUUUAAUAACUCAAUUACAAUAUAGUUUAUUGCCACACUUUAUUUAAUUAAAUUUCCAUAUUCACAUUUAAUUAAAUUAAAGCUAAUAACAACUUAGUAAAUCAAUUUUUCAUAUAAUCACAUUGCCACAAAAUUAUAAUUUCCUUAUAAUUUUAUUUAAUAAAUUAGUACAUUACUUUCAUUACUAAAUUAAAUUAAAACAACUUUAUAACAAUUCAUUUAAUCCUUAUCAACUCUCAAAUUUAAUUAUUAAAUUAAAUUAGAAUAUUACCACAUAAUAAUUAAUUCAUCACUCUUUUAUUUUAAUUAACUUCAAAUUACCAAUUAUAAACUUAAUUAACAUAUUACCUUAAUUAAGUUAAUUCCCCACAACUCAUGAAUUAUUUAUUUAAGUAAUAAAUAAUCAAAUUAAAAAAAUAUUUAUUUAACAAUAUACACAUCAACCAAAAUAUUUAUUUAAUUUGAUAAAUAUUUGAAAUUACACAUAAAAUUCUGAAUUGUUACACCAGGACUUCAAUUUCCCAGGAAAAAGUUUCAGUCCAGAGUUAAAGAGAAGCACUUUCUGCCCAGGUUCAAACUCUCUUUCAACUAUCUUUUUAUUAUGCCACCUCUUCGUUUUCUCCAUGUACAACUUUGCGUUUUCAUACGCUUGGAGCCAAAACUCGUCUGAUUCAUUAAGUUGUAACAAUCUUUUCUCACCCGCUACAUCCAAAUCAAAGUUGAGCUUCUGAAUCGCCCAAUACGCAUUGUGCUCCAACUCAACGGGGAGAUGGCAUGCCUUACCAUAAAAAAUCUAUACGGAGACAUUCCGAUAGGCUUUUUGUAAGCAGUGCGAUACGCCCACAAUGCAUCAUCCUUCCGGUUAGGGUUCAUAAUCUUUUCUAAUAUCCACUUGACUUCCUUAUUCGACACCUCCGCUUGUCCACUUAUUUGCGGUGACAAUUUUAUGGGAAACCCCAUAUUUAGUAAGAAGGGCUUUAAAUUACUUGUUGCAAAAAUGCGAGCCCUCGUCACUAAUAAUUGUUUGAGGUGUGCCAAAUUGGGUAAAAAUAUUCUUUCUCAAGAAAUUAAGCACGACCUUGGCAUCGUUAGUAGGCAAAGUUAUGGCUUCCACCCAUUUGGAUACAUAGUCCACAACGACUAGUAUAUACAAAUUGUUGUAAGAUGACAGAAACGGGCCCAUGAAGUCUAUGCCCCAGACAUCAAACAACUCUACCUCAAGAAUAUUCCGCAGAGGCAUUUCAUGCCUUUUUGAAAUGAUUCCUACUCUCUGGCAAUUAUCGCAUCACGAUACAUAUAGAUGAGCAUCCUUAAACAGAGUCGGCCAGUAGAAAUUUGAUUGGAGCACCUUCGCUAUUGUUCUUUGCCCACCAAAAUGCCCUCCAUAAUUAGAUGAAUAACGAUGACAGAGCACACCCUCAAUUUCUCCCUUAGGCAGACAUUAUUGCAGAAUUUGGUCUGCACGUUGUUUGAAUAAGAAUGUCUCAUCCCAGAGAUAAUGCUUUGCAUCAUUCAGGAAUUUCUUCCUCUGCUGAUAGUUCAUGUUAGGAGGUAACAUAAUACAAGCGACAUAAUUUGCAAAGUCUGCAUACCACGGCGCUACACUAUGAACCACAUACAACUGCUCAUCCGGGAAGAAGUCAUUUAUAUAUGUCUCAUUUUCCCUCGAGUGAGUUGGUUCUCAAUCUCAAUAGGUGAUCCGCAACUUUGUUUUCAGUUCCCUUUCUAUCGCAAAUCUCCAAAUCUAAUUCUUGAUGGAGAAGGACCCAUCUAAUCAACCUCGGUUUUACAUCCUUCUUCGAGAUUAAAUAUUUGAUUGCCGAAUGGUUAGUAUACACAAUGACUUUGGUUUCGAUGAGAUAUGAGCAGAACUUAUAAAAGGAAUAUACUACUACCAGAAGCUCUUUCUUAGUAGUGGUGUAAUUAAGCUGAGCAUCUGCCAAGGUUUUACUAGCAUAAUAUAUAGUAUGAAACACCUUAUCCCUCCAUUGUCCCAACACUGCCCCAAUAGCAUAAUCACUGGCGUCGCAUAUGAGUUCAAAAGGGAAGGUCCAGUCAUGGGCUACUACAAUAGGAGCUGAGACGAGCCUCUCCUUUAAUAGUUUAAAUGCUUCUAGGCAAGCCUUUUCAAUAUUGAAAAGCACUUCUUUUUCCAAUAGGCUACAGAGCGGCUUGGUAAUUUUAAAGAAGUCUUUGAUGAACUACCUGUAAAACCCUGUUUGUCCUAGAAAACUCCUAACUCCUUUUACUGAUGAUGGCGAUAGAAGAUUAUCUAUAACAUCAAUUUUUUCUCUGUUUACUUCAAUCCCAUUAGCAGACACUCUAUGCCCUAGAAUAAUCCCCUCUCUCACCAUAAAGUGGCAUUACUCCAAUUUCAAAACUAGUUUCGUCUCUACACAUGUUUUUAGAACUGCAGUCAAAUUUUGUAGACAUGCCUCAAAAGAACUCCUGAAAAUAGAGAAAUCAUCCAUAAACACCUCGAGUGUCUGUUCUACCAUAUCAAAAAAAUGGACAUCAUACAACGUUGAAAUGUUAUAGGAGCAUUACAUAGCCCGAAAGACAUUUUCUGGAAGGCAAAGGUCCCAUAUGGACAUGUAAAUGUAGUUUUCUCUUGAUCUUCGGGCGCUAUUGCAAUUUGAUUGUAACCCGAGUACCCAUCCAAAAGACAAUAACAUUCAUGCCUAGCGAGUCUGUCAAGCAUUUAGUCAAUGAAGGGCAGAGGGAAGUGAUCCUUGAAAGUGGACUUGUUCAAUUUUCUAUAGUCCAUACAUACCCUACAUUCAGUCAUCGUCCGUGUGGGAAUAAGCUCAUUGUUCUUGUUAGGCACCAUUGUCAUGUCGCCCUUCUUUGGCACACAUUGUAUUAGGCUAACCCAUGGACUGUCAGAGAUCAAGUAGAUAAUGCCCGCAUCCAGUAACUUGAUUAUUUCCUUUCUGACCACCUCCUUCAAAAUGGGGUUCAACCGCCUUUGGUGUUCAAUAAAAGGCUUAGACCCCUCCUCGAGGAGGAUUUUGUGUAUGCAGAAAAAGGGACUGAUACCCUUUAUAUUUGAGAUUGACCACCCCAAAGCUGUUUUGUACUAUUUAAGAACUUGAAGGAGCUUCUCUUCCUGUUCCUUAUCUAAAGAUGCAGAAACUAUAACUAUAAAGGCUGAUGAUUCACCGAGAUAAGCAUACCGCAAAUGGCUCGGAAAAGGCUUUAGAUCAAGAACAUGUGGUUCUAUAAUUAAAGGUUGUGACUUGGAAGUAAAUUCUUCUUGAUCAUUCAAAUAUUCAAAUUAUCUCUGGAACUGAUUUGAUCUCGGGGGUGCAUCUAACCACUUAACAUACUUAAGAUGAGUAGGCUCUUCCACGUUACUUACACCAGUCAAAGUGGCCUCAAGCGAGUCAGAAAGGCAGUUUUUAGAGAAUACUUCUCGUACAGCUUCGUCAAUCACAUUGACUCAGAAGAAAUCUUUAGAAGCACUUGGGUACUUCAUAGACCUGAAGACAUUGAAAGUUACUUCUUGGUCUUGUACUAUCAUUGUGAGUUCCCCCUGCUACACAUAUAUCAAUAUCCUGCCCAUUGCUAGAAAUGGUCUGCCUAAGAUAAUAGGGACCUCCCUAUCCUCCUCGAAGUUCAGAAUAAUAAAAUUAGUGGGAAAGAUGAACUUGUCAACUUUGAUAAGCACGUCUUCCACAAUCCCCUUCGGAUAAGUGAGGGAUCUAUUGGCUAGCUACAGAGCCACACUAGUAGGCUUAUCCUCAUUCAACCCCAACUUCUUGUAGAUAGAUAGGGGCAUCGGAUUGAUGCUAGCUCCUAAGUCGCAUAGGGCUUUUACGAUGAAUUGAUCCCUAAUAGUGGAAGGUAUAGUGAAGCUCCCAAGGUCUUUCAACUUAAGUGGAAGCUUGUUCUGUAGAAUUGCACUACAUUCCUCCGUAAGUGCCAUUGUUUCAUAGUCCCCUAUUUUCCUCUUCUUGGACAAGAUGUCUUUCAUGAAUUUCACAUAGCUGGGCAUUUGUUAUAGCACCUCCGCAAAUAGGAUAUUGAUAUGAAGUUUCUUAAAAACUUCUAAGAACGUCGAGAAUUGUUUAUCAAGCUUUUGUUUCUGAAGGUGUUGGGGAAAUGGUAACUGUUAGGCUACAGGACUAGGCUUGCUAACACUUGGGGCUGGUAUUGUGGUUUCCUCCUGAACAUUCUCUUCUACCCCAAACUUGUCACAAUAUGGCUCAACAUUGCUUUCCUCUACAACCACUUUAUGUUGCACUAUUGAGGUCUCUCCUCCAGUUUCAUUCACUGUCUUCUCAUUCUAGAGAGUGAAUACUGUUAGUUCCCAGAGGCACAAUAGUUAUCUAGAAGGGGGGGGGGUUGAAUAGAUAUUUAAAAUUAUUUUUCGUUUUACUUUGUCAGUUUUGAUAAUGAUUUAAACACAGCGGAAUUAAGGUUUGUUUGAUCUCCCUUUUUAGAUAUAGUGAGUUAAUGAGAGUGAGGUAGUUAUAACAGUUAUAGCAGUUAUAGCAAGAAUGCAAUAGACAUCAGUUUUAAGUGGUUCAGAACACUUAAAGCUCCCAUUCCACUCUUCUACUCCUCGAGUAGGAAAUCCACUAAGGAUAUCUUUUACACUUUCUGAAUCUCACAGAUUCCUUCUAGACCAGCAAUCUAGGAACUCCUUAGUUCACUCUUGAACUCUUAAAGUCCAGCAGACUUGGUUCGUCAUAGUUCACUUAGAACUCUUCAAGUCCUUCUGACUUGAAACUCUUACUUCAGUUGAUUGGUAGUUGUUGAGUUCUUGGUUGGUGCUACUCAGUUGCCGUUAAGCCCUUGUUCGAAAGAACUGAGUAGUUGUGCAAGCUUCCUCUUUUUCUCAAAUCGUAGAGUUGAGAGUUGAGUAUUCUUCCUUUUUGUUCAAUUUCUUGCUUAGUUGAAACAUCUGCAGAUGUCUUGGAUAUAUGUGAUCUUUGAAAUCUACCCGUUGAAUCCAUCCAUUGAAUCAUUUAAUGCAUUUGACGUUUCUGAACUUUGAUGGAGACUUUUUUGUAUAUCUUCUGAAUUGCAUUCUGGCCCACUGACAUAGCAGACUGCUUUCUCACCUAACACCUGAAAAGGUGUUUUCCUCUGUCCUAUGGUCCUUGUGACAACCCGAGAAUUUAGACAAUUUCUUAAAAUCUUAAAUGAUGGAUUUAAGGUCAAAUAAUAGACCUAGACAGAAAAUAAGUGUAUGUGUUUAGCAUUUGUGCAAGGGAAUUUUGAGGAUUUCAAAAUUCUGUGAAGGAUUUAGAUGAAUUAUACAUGAUUAAGUGUAUACGUGAUUAUGUUCUGUGAAUAUGGUAUUAUAUGUGUACAGUAUGUGGUUAAGGGUCAAGGGUUGACCAGAUAAAUUUUAUCAGUGUCAAACCCUAAGAUUAUUGUCGAAUAUCGGCGUUCUGUUAGAAAACCCUAAUGAUUGAUAAGAAACCCUAGAAACCGGUUCUGAAACCCUAAUUUCGGUUUCGAAAAUUGAAAACCCUAAUUUGGGAAUUUAACGGAGAAUUAUAUUGCUUAAGUGUUAUUAAUUACAUGAUUAAUUAGGGUAAAAGCUUAAUUAAUUAGCAAAUCCUAAUUUGAAACUUUUUAACCCUAAUUGUUCCUUUAGAAACCCUAAUGUACAGUUGUGGAUUUAAUUGCUAAAUUAGCAAUAUUAAUUAGGAAAUAAUAAUCCUAAUUAGCAAACUUGAAUUAUGAUUAGGAAAUCUAAGUAUAAUUAGUGAAUCCUAAUUAUAAUUUGAUAAUCUUAAUUUUUCAAUUUUUGAAAACCUAAUUUGGAAAUCCUAGAAUUUAUUUUUAAAACCUAAAGGGUUAAACCCUAAACCCUAAGGGUCUAAACAAUUGACAAAUGGGGAAAAGGGUCAAAAAUGCCCCUGAUGUUUACCCCGAUGUCUCACUUGCACCCUAAACUAAUUUUUUUUCCAAAAGUGCCCUUAACGUUAUAAAUUUUAGCUCAAUUGUGCCCCUACCACUAACGGACAUGCCAUGUAGACUAAUUCCGUUAACACCUGGACAUUUUUUGAUGACGAAAGUAAAAUUUUGGUGACAAGGCGUGACUACUCAUAUUACAGCACAUUCCCUUCUCUUCCUUCAUCACCAUAAAGUCUUUUCCUCUCCAAAAACUCAUUCUCUCUCUCUCUGCAAUGGAAGAACCAAAUAAACAACUCGCAAAUAUCCAAAUUUUCCCUCAUAAACUCGCCAGAUCCAGAUCUAAAUCUCCUUUCCAAACCCUUCGAUUUAAUUCCAAACCAACAAAAUUGGUACUACUUAUUGGUGGUGGUUUUUGAUUUUAUGUGAAAGCUGGAUAUUUUUUGUUUGAAUUCAUUCAUGGUGGUGAGAUUUCCCACAUAGUUGGUGAAGAAAAUGAAGAAAAAACAUGAAGUCCGUCUCCUUUUCUCUCCAUUUCUUCCAAACUCCAUCUUCCCCCAUUUUCUCUCUCUAAAUUUCAGUUCUCUCUCAAUCACAAUCGAUCUGUUCCUCCAAAUUUUUUGAAAGCGGGUCUCAAGUACAUAAAAGAAAAAAAAACGAAUUAAAUAACCAGUGCUUUUAAUAAUAUAUUUAGUUAUUCACACAAUAAUUAAAAAAAUGAAAGAUAAAUAUAAGAGAGAGUGAGGCUCAGAUUUGUGAAAAAUCAGACAUGGAAUAUGAAUCUGUCAUGGUUGCAACCCCCAGUUGCAUGUGAGAAAAAUGGAUCGAUUGUUGAAUUUAAUCAAUCACAUGACCUCUGUAAUGCCCAGAGAGAGUGAGGCCCAGAUUCACCAUGCCUGAUCGGGUUUGCUCGGAUUUAGACUGUAAUCAGAUCAUUUUCAGUUCCAUCACCACCACCAACCACAAGAAAAGAAAGAGGGGGAGUUACCCAGUUGGGUUUGCUCGGAGUUUAGAUCUGAUCGAAAUUUCUCGGAGUUUAGAUCUGAGAAGAAUGGUGGGUUUAGAUAGAGAAUGGAUAUGGAUUUUUGGUAACAAAAAUCCUCCUACUCUUGAUACUCUGCAAUGGUGAAGAAGGAUGAAGAUGGAUUUCUAAGUCAAUUGAUGAUUCCUGGAUGUGGGCUUUUUUUCCCCUUUUGCAAAGAACGAAUGCUUUUGUUCUCUCUCUCUCUCUCUAAGUGUCUAGUCAGCAAAAAUAUCCACGUGUUAACAGAGUUAGUCCAAGUGGCAGGUCAGUUGACAGCAGGGGUACGAGUGGUCUACUUUUACUAACGUUAAGGGUACUUUUGGAAAAAAAAAUAGUUUAGGGUGGAAGUGGGACAUCCGUGUAUAGUUCAGGGUUUUUUUUGGACCAUAUCCCAUGAUAUAUAUGAUAUAUAUAUAUAUAUAUCAUAUAUAUAUAUAUAUAUAUAUAUUGCAUUAUUUAUGUGAUAGCUUGUAAAUCUUGUCAAAUGGAGUUGAUGACCAACUCCAACAACCCCAUGUGACCCAAAUUCGCAGCAAUCAACCGCCAUAUCUGCUGAUUAUAUUGUAUCAAUAUAUACAUAUAGAAUUAGAGAGAUGGAAGUUCACAAAAUUGGCUAUUUGGUCACCAAACACUCAACCAACAUUUUCUCUCUCUAGACCCAUGAAAUUAGUAGGAAAUUCAGUCUCUAACAUGAUCACUAGCAAGCCAAGAUCAGAUCAUGAUGAUCAGAAUCAAAGCUCAAGCAUCAAAGUGGUAUAAACCCUAAAUUUAGAAAUCCUAUGAUAUGAUGUUAGAUGUUGUUGUUUAUUGUUUAAUGUUGUGUAUUAUGAUGUUAUUUAGUGAUCUGGGUUGUCAAAUCCCAGAUCCAUAACAUCAAAGGGCUCGAAAUUGAAGAUUUCUUAAAUCUGGAAAAUUGCUAAAACAUUGUCUGACAAGCAAAUGUCAGACCUCAUAGAUUGGUAUCUGUUGAUUGUUUUUGUGUUUUAAAUGUUGGAACGUGUAGUAUGUUAUGUCGUCUUUGCUCUGAAACUUAAAUCAAGUCCAGAAUAGGUGUAGAUUUAAAGUUAUAGGCAGUCAAAACCCCUUGACCAACCACGAAAUCUGGAAUCUGGGCAGCCCAGAUUUGCCCAGAUUUCGUCUGACAAGCUUUUCAAGGCUCUUAAUCUUGCUGUGUUUGGUUAGUUUUGACAAGUUGUGGUUUUAAUCAUGUAGACUGGUAUAAGUACUACACAAUCAAGCUUUUAUAUAACCCAGAUCAUACAUAGAUUAAAAGUUAUGCAGGGUAAAAGUAGCCUUGACCAUCUGAUUUGUGUAUUUCUGGAAAACCCAGAAAAUGGGAAGAACAGAUUUCUGAUAUGGUUUGACCAUGCCAGAUCUCACUCAUGUUUUGAUGUUAUCUACUUGUAGACAGACAUAUCGAUUACAUAUAUGAAUCAUUAGAUCACACAAAACAAGCUUGGAAAGCAAAGAUUUAAGGGCUCAAAAUAGGAACCUUGAUUGUUCUUAAAUUCUGGAAAACCCAGAAUUUGAAGAACAGGUCUGACAUCAUAUUGGAGAGCUUAUAACUCUCUGAUUUGUUGUAGUUUGGCCAUGAAAUUAGUAUGUAGUUGUAGUAUUACACUAAUACUACAUGAUUAAAACAUUUUCUAGCCCAGAAGACAUUAAGAUCAAAGAUCAAAAGUUUGGUCAAACCUCAUGCCUUGAUGACUGACAUGAAUUUCUAGAAACAGCCAAGAACUCCAAGAAUACCUAUAGCGACGGUUCUGUCGCUAUAGGGCCCCUUUUAGCGACAGUUUAUUUAGAAAUUAAUUAAUUUAAUAAAUAAAUAGAAAAAAAUGAUUUUUAAUUAUUAAAAAUACAUAAUAAAUUAUGAAAAAUUAUUUUAAAGCCUGAAAAAUAGUUUUUAAUUAUUUUGAGUAUAUUUCAAAAAUAUUUAAUAUUUUUGGAAUAUAAAAGGUAUUUAUUUAUUUAAUUAUAAUAUUAAAUAAAUUAUUUAAAAAUGGUUUUAAUUCAUGAAAAAUCAUGAAAAAUUAUAUUAUGGUAUUAGAAAAUAUUUUAAGUUAUUUUUGAUGACUUUUAAUAUUAUGUGAUGAAUUUCAUUAAUAAAUUAUUAUUAAUGGUAAUUAAUUUAUUUAAUGAAUAUAUUAAAUAAAUUAUGGAAAAAUAGAUUUAAUGUUUUAAAAAUCAUAUAUAAAUGAUUUAAGUGUUAUAAAAAUAUUUUAAGUUAUAAAAUAUAACUUUUGAUAUUUUGUCAUGAAAAUAUUAAUAUUUUAAUAUUAUUAUCAGUUAUCGGAUAAUGGAUUUAACUGUUUAAAAAUCUUAUAAAUAUGAUUUUAAGGUAUUAAAAAUACUUUGUAAUAUUAUAAUUAUAUGUAAUGAUUUUCAUUAAUAUUUAAUAUUAAAUAAAUAUUAAUGAUAAGGGAAUAUUAUGGUAUUUAAUUCAUAUAAAUACAAUAUAAAUAAUUGUAAAAUCAAGAUAAAUGGUAAUAAUUAUCUGAAAAUUAUUACAAGCCUAUGAAAAAUAUAUUGAUUGAUAAUAAAAUUAUCUAAGAUAAUUGUUAAGUGUUCAGGCAGAGUUUAAUUGAACUUAAACUCGAUAUUUGUCUGAUUAGACCGUCGGGAUGUUAGAUUUGUGUCGGGUUCAACUCAGACUACAAUAGUUUGACUUGAUACCUAGUUUUAUGUAUUGAAUAGACUGAUAGGGUUAUGUUUUAUGUGUUUAGGUUAUUCUAUGUAUAUAUAUAAUAGUAUUAUAUUGUGAUGAUAUUAUUCUAAUAUUGGAGAUCUAAAUUAUUAAUAUUAAGUCUUCGGAUAAAGCAUUAUAAAUUGCGUAUGGUAAUCAACGGUUCAGGGAAGUUUUUCUUAACUCUACUAAGAGUUGUUUCAUUCGGAUAUGCUUAUGGUUAAUCAUUGUUGAUUGCCAUGUAGAAUUGUACUCUGUAUAUAUUGCAUGUAUAAGUCAGGUAUGAAAGGCUGAUCACUUUCAUUAUCAUUCGGUCCAGAUAAAUUUGUUCAUGUGUAAUACUUGUUCAGUCAAAAGUUUCUUCGUGCUAGUUCUCAACUAUAUUGAUGAAUUAUAGCCAGCUUAUUAUUCAGACUCUUUCAAUCAUGAUAUAUCCUUAAAUAAAUUUAAACUUGUUGGGCAACUUUCAUGCUCACCCUUGCUAUAUCAUGAUAAACAUUACAGAUAAGGCGAAUGUGUUCAAAUACAGGAAAAGGUUAAUGCCAUGUUCAGCUUGGGAUAAAAUGUGCAGCUAAUUUGUAAUAGUAUAGUUUGAUAAUAAUGUUAUGUGUUAAAUAGUUUAUGAAUUGUGUAUAAGUUAAGGUUACUCGAUUUUGGGGAAUAGUGUGUAAAGUGUAUUGUAUAAACAAUUUAUUUUAUAUCUUUCGCAAUAGUUAUAGAAUGAUUAUACCAGAUCCGUGGUGAUUUGGACCCAGAUUUGGGGCUGUCACAGUUGGUAUCAAAGCUGUUGUUAUGAAGCUUAGGUAGGAAUACCUGAGACCAAUAACCGCAGUGAUUAGGAUUAAGUACUAACUCAAAUCAAGUUAGUGUGUCGGUAAGAUUCAAAGACGAAUCUCGGCGAGUUAUAAAGAUACAGAGUUCCCCAACUCUGAUAAUAAAGGUGAACAGUAGUGGUGAAUAGAUAGAGUUUAAAAGACUGAAAGUAUAGGGAUAAGAGAUCGUCAAACAAAACGAUCAUAGUAUAGAAAUGAAUCAUAAUAUAUAUGACGAGAUCACUUCGUGAUCUGAUAAGUUGAUAGUAGGGAUAAGAAUCAAUCUGAUGAUUGGAAAGUUUCAAGCAAGAUUACUGGGUGAAUUGGUAAAGAUUCAGGAAAGGAUUAUGAAUACGGAUUAAAUGAAAUUAGUAUUGAGAAGGGGGUUAAGAUUAGUUGGGGAUUUCAAUUGAGGACUCAUGUCAGCAGCUGAGUUGUAUGAUUCCUUGUAUGGGCGGGGAAUUGUACUUGGUGUAACAACUACUUAGUUUCUAGCACUGAUAAUCAUUGAAAUGUUGUGUCGCGUUAUUUGCUAUAUGAAUGUUAAGAAGGUGAGUCCUUUCUCGUGUGUAUAACAAAUAGAUAGGUUAUAGGUAGAGGAUAUAAGGUUAAGUACGAGUUCUUAAAACUCAUACUUAUGAGACAUUCUUGACUCAUAGUUAUAUGAAAUGUUUAUGAAUCCCUCAGCGAAUGGACGCCAAAGGUCUGACUAGGGUAAGUUCUUAAACUCAUAUGAUUAUGGCAAGUUUAUGAAUUCAUAAGUAUGGUUUGACGAACAGGGUAUAGUUGUGUGUGAAUGGAGAAUUGAGGAGUAUAGGAAUAGAUAGAUUGUUAAGCAAAUGAUUAUUAGUGGAGACAUAAGUUUUCCAAAACUCCUAGCUAUGCUAGACUUUGAAAUUUUGACAUCAAGCUAAAUACGCACUAUGUGCUUUUAAAAAAAAUAUGGAGACUCGUAAUCAUUUUUAAAACGGUUUAAAGUACAGUCUAUGCUACUUAUUUCGGCUAGACGCAAAAUGAUUUGAAAUAUCAACAGUUAUUUUAUUUAUCACUCAUGUACCAUGUAACCUGGUGCAGAGAUGAUAAAAAGGUGAAUUUGAUCUAAAAUCGUUAUUCCACUAUUGUAUAAUGUGUUAUGACGAAGUCAUACGAAGACGGCAUCCUCAAAUGGACUGUUAAUAUAGUACGGCAUCAUGACGUCAUUCUCAAAAAUAUUUUCAAAAUUUUAAUUUGCCAACGGGGUUUUGCUACACCUAAAUAAUUCGAUUGGAUUGAAUUAUUGAUACGAGUCUAUCCUAUUCGAUUCAGCUAGACUAAUGUUUAUGAAAACUCUAAGUGUUCAUUGAAAGAAAUUUCUCGAACCAAAUUGUUUUGGUGCAGAAUCCAGUAAGACUGAGGUAAAGUUUUGUGCCUAUGGCAGUGACGACAAACAGAUAAAACCAGUAAUUGGCCAGUACAGGGCAUAUCGGGCUAAUCACCAUUUGUGUCUGUAAGUAAUGACGGUUUGUGGAUGAAUUUCCAUAAAACCUUUGCGAAAAUGACAGACAAAUAGUCUAUACGACUCCUCAGCACAAUUUGAAAACUUUUACUCUUGUGAGUGGUGUAUUACCGCAUGUGAUGAUAUAUGUGAAUGGUGUAAGCAGUAUGGUGUAAGGUGUAAGGUGAAUUUCGGGGACAAAAUUCUUAGAAGAAGGGGUGAAUGUAACAACCCGAGAAUUUAGACAAUUUAUUAAAAUCUUAAAUGAUGGAUUUAAGGUCAAAUAAUAGACCUAGACAGAAAAUAAGUGUAUGCGUUUAGCAUUUUUGCGAGGGAAUUUUGAGGAUUUCAAAAUUCUGUGAAGGAUUUAGAUGAAUUAUACAAGAUUAAGUGUAUACGUGAUUAUGUUAUGUGAAUAUGGUAUUAUAUGUGUACAGUAUGUGGUUAAGGGUCAAGGGUUGACAAGAUAAAUUUUAUCAGUGUCAAACCCUAAGAUUAUUGUCGAAUAUCGAUGUUCUGUUAGAAAACCCUAAUGACUGAUAAGAAACCCUAGAAACUAGUUUUGAAACCCUAAUUUCGGUUUCGAAAAUUGAAAAGCCUAAUUUGGGAAUUUAACGAAGAAUUAUAUUGCUUAAGUGUUAUUAAUUACAUGAUUAAUUAGGGUAAAAGCUUAAUUAAUUAGCAAACCCUAAUUUGAAACUUUUUAACCCUAAUUGUUCUGUCAAAAACCCUAAUGUACAGUUGUGGAUUUAAUUGCUAAAUUAGAAAUAUUAAUUAGAGAAUAAUAAUCCUAAUUAGCAAACUUGAAUUAUGAUUAGGAAAUCUAAGUAUAAUUAGUGAAUCCUAAUUAUAAUUUGAAAAUCUUAAUUUUUCCAUUUUUGAAAACAUAAUUUGGAAAUCCUAGAAUUUAUUUUUAAAACCUAAAGGGUUAAACCCUAAACCCUAAGGGUUUGAACAAUUAACAAAUGUGCCAUUAAAAUAAAAAUAAAAAAAGACCAAAAUGCCCUUAUUGCAUUAUUUAUGUGAUAGCUUGCAAAUCUUGUCAAAUGGAGUUGGUGACCAGCUCCAACCACCCCAUGUGAUCCAAAUUCGCAGCAAUCAACCACCAUAUCAGCUGAUUAUAUUGUAUCAAUAUAUACAUAUAGAAUUAGAGAGACAGAAGUUCACAAAAUUGGCUAUUUGGUCACCAAACACUCAACCAACAUUUUCUCUCUCUAGACCCAUGAAAUUAGUAGGAAAUUCAGUCUCUAACAUGAUCUCUAGCAAGCCAAGAUCAGAUCAUGAUGAUUAGAAAUCCAAUGAUAUGAUGUUAGAUGUUGUUGUUUAUUGUUUAAUGUUGUGUAUUAUGAUGUUAUUUAGUGAUCUGUGUGACGCCCCCAAAUCCGGGUAUCUUCCAACCCGACAGAUGGUGCUACAUGGUACUCAUAACUGUACAUUCAUUCUAUUGAAACGACAUCAAAAUGUGUGUAUCAAUGACAUUCUUAUUACAAUAAUAAUAUUACAUCUCAUUCCCAGGUUCUAAAACCAUUACAUUCUUUGUUCAUCAUACUAUAAUAUAUACAACUUACUAGUUUAUUAUAAGGUAAACUAAUCGUUCAUCUUCGUCUUGCCUUUAUCCUUGUUAGAUCCCUCAGUUCAUUCGGUUUUAGCUGCAUUCAUAUGGUUCAAGCAAGAGUGAGCAUAACAAGCUCAGCAAGUAAAACAAUUUCUUUCAAAUAACAUGCUUGAAACAUAGGAAUCGUAUAUCUUCAAUAACUGGAUAGUAGUUACAAAGUACAAUAAAUAAUUAAGAAUAGCAUUUGUUUUCCUUCAAAAUGUUUUACAAUGACAAUAUUCAGUAAAACAUUAAUCUUGGUCCAAGACCAUGAGCAUUUCAUACUUUCUUUGAAAAGGACAACCCAACACUAAGUCCGUAAGUCCGGUAUAUCUUACGAGCACUUCUGGGUGAUCAGCCCAUAGUACUCUAUGUUGAUCAACCCUACAAUCAUUAAACGUAUGUACGUUUAAGUUUUGGCAACCUCGUGUGCCCAUCGAAUAAUCGAUGAAAAAUACAUUUGUUUAUUCAUACUCAGGCUUACCUUGAAUCCGUACCAAACAAUUAGCGUAGGAUAGCGUUAACAAUUCUAUAUUGACAGACUUGCAAA
rnacentral:lncRNA from 1 species